UUCUUUAAGUGUGGAAGUUGUUUGCAACUUGGAAUUUAAUUUGGAUAUGCCGGUUAUGAUCUCAUUGGUAUUUAUCACACCUUCAUUCAAUAUUACUAGCUUCAGAUUAAACAUACUCUGCUAGAAGAAAUUAAUUUAAAAAAAAUAAGGAUUUAGAUUUUAGCAGAUGAGGCUAGCAGAGGUAGGCGUAAAAUUGACGUCUUUCGAGUCAAAACUAUUAAUUUUUACUGUGGGGGGGGGGGGGGGGGGAGAGUACGGUGAGGAUCGAACCGUAAACAGUUAAGGCAAGUAUGGACAUAACCAUUCCAGCUUUAUACAGGUCUGAAUUUGAAUUAAUUCAUUAUUCAUUAUCUGACACAUCAUAGGUUUGUGACACAUUACCUAUUAUAUUGUCCAAUAUCCGAAAUCUUUUAUAUUGCUAGAUUCAACAUAUCAAAGAACCCUAAGAAUUGUUUGUUUUAAGUGCCGUUUUGGCCCCUUAUUUCUAAAACGUUUUUGUCUGGCAACAAAGUAUUUACGGACAACGAACACAUCGCAAAAACAUUAUACUGCGUCAAA
rnacentral:lncRNA from 1 species